GGGGGUGUUCUGGAUUCGAUCCUUGGUUGGAGUGCGCCGCUGCCUGUCGAGAGUCGUGGGUCUCUCGUAAAUCCCCCUGCGAACCAAUAAUAGGCAAAUACGAAGAAAUGCCCAUGGCCGCUUAAUUAAAGCGGCCUUGUUGGACCGGCGACACCUGCUAGCCGGCCCGACAACGACAGCAGGUAUAGCGCGUGGAGCCGUCCGCGGACCGCGCGUCGUAUCUUCAUCCGGGGACUGGCCGAUGCUUAAGCGCGCGUAACCGCGUAACAUCGGCGAGAUUAAUGGUGCGCUAAACAUGGUAGACGCGGUGUGCGAAGGUCAGGGACACGCGGGUUCAACUCCCGCCACCUCCACCA
rnacentral:tmRNA from 1 species